rnacentral:rRNA from 1 species
AUACGUAGGGUGCAAGCGUUAAUCGGAAUUACUGGGCGUAAAGCGUGCGCAGGCGGUUUUGUAAGACAGUGGUGAAAUCCCCGGGCUCAACCUGGGAACUGCCAUUGUGAAUGCAAGGCUGGAGUGCGGCAGAGGGGGAUGGAAUUCCGCGUGUAGCAGGGAAAUGCGUAGAUAUGCGGAGGAACACCGAUGGCGAAGGCAAUCCCCUGGGCCUGCACUGACGCUCAUGCACGAAAGCGUGGGGAGCAAACAGGAUUAGAUACCCUGGUAGUCCACGCCCUAAACGAUGUCAACUGGUUGUUGGGUCUUCAUUGACUCAGUAACGAAGCUAACGCGUGAAGUUGACCGCCUGGGGAGUACGGCCGCAAGGUUGAAACUUAAAGGAAUUGGCGGGG